rnacentral:lncRNA from 1 species
UUCAUUCUGAACAUGUCACCGGGGACUUUGGAAUGUGUAUCCAUAACUCCCUGAUUUUCAACCACAUUCCAGCCUGCCUGACUCAUGAAGCGUGGAGCGACCCAGGAACAUCCCAGCUCCUCAUGUCCCACAUUCUUCAGGCUUUCUCUUAGUUUUGGCAUGUGCAUGUAAAUGUCAACAGGCAUGGUGGCUCACACGUGUAAUUCUAGCACUUUGGGAGGCUGAGGCAGGUGGAUCACCUGAGGUCAGGAGUUCAAGACCAGCCUGGUCAACAUGGCGAAACCCCGUCUCUACUAAAAAUACGAAAUUAGCCAGGCGUGGUGGCGGACGCCUGUAAUCCCAGCUACUCAGGAGGCUGAAGCAGGAGAAUCGCUUGAACCUGGGAGGCAGAGCUUGCAGUGAGCCGAGAUCAUGCCACUACACUCCAGCCUUGGUGACAGAGUGAGACUCCAUCUCAAAAAACAACAACAAAAUAAAUAAAUAAAUAAAAAUAAAAUGUCCUGUUCUCUUUUUUCCUCCAGUGCCCAGAUCAG